rnacentral:rRNA from 1 species
UACGGAGGGUGCAAGCGUUGUUCGGAAUCAUUGGGCGUAAAGCGCGUGUAGGCGGCUUGGCAAGUCGGUUGUGAAAGCCCGGGGCCCAACCCCGGAAUUGCAUCUGAAACUGCCUCGCUAGAGUCCCGAAGAGGAAGGCAGAAUUCCCGGUGUAGGGGUGAAAUCCGUAGAUAUCGGGAGGAAUACCAGCGGCGAAGGCGGCCUUCUGGACGGUGACUGACGCUGAGACGCGAAAGCGUGGGGAGCAAACAGG